AAGUGUAGAUGAGGUACUAACCCUAGCAACCCCUUUUCUUCUUUCUUACCGCUAUCAUAUUCUUCCAUGGAUCCCUUCUCCAUAUCUCAAGAAAUCUAGGAGAGGUUCUAACCCUAGCACGCCUUCCAUCAAAUCUAAAAGAGAUCCUAAUCCUAGUGCAGCUAUCUUUCUUUUCUAUAUUCUCAUACUUUCAUCUAUCUUUCUUUCUUG
rnacentral:lncRNA from 1 species